AUUGAACGCUGGCGGCAUGCCUUACACAUGCAAGUCGAACGGCAGCACGGGAGCAAUCCUGGUGGCGAGUGGCGAACGGGUGAGUAAUAUAUCGGAACGUGCCCAGUCGUGGGGAUAACGUAGCGAAAGCUACGCUAAUACCGCAUACGAUCUAUGGAUGAAAGCGGGGGAUCGCAAGACCUCGCGCGAUUGGAGCGGCCGAUAUCAGAUUAGGUAGUUGGUGAGGUAAAGGCUCACCAAGCCGACGAUCUGUAGCUGGUCUGAGAGGACGACCAGCCACACUGGGACUGAGACACGGCCCAGACUCCUACGGGAGGCAGCAGUGGGGAAUUUUUGGGACAAUGGGCGCAAGCCUGAUCCAGCAAUGCCGCGUGCAGGAUGAAGGCCUCGGUGUAAC
rnacentral:rRNA from 1 species